rnacentral:rRNA from 1 species
CCUACGGGUGGCAGCAGUGAGGAAUAUUGGUCAAUGGACGAGAGUCUGAACCAGCCAAGUAGCGUGAAGGAUGACUGCCCUAUGGGUUGUAAACUUCUUUUAUAAAGGAAUAAAACGAGGCACGUGUGCCUUUUUGCAUGUACUUUAUGAAUAAGGAUCGGCUAACUCCGUGCCAGCAGCCGCGGUAAUACGGAGGUGCCGAGCGUUAUCCGGAUUUAUUGGGUUUAAAGGGCGCGUAGAUGGGUUGUUAAGUCAGUUGUGAAAGGUUGCGGCUCAACCGUAAAAUUGCAAUUGAUACUGGCAGUCUUGAGUACAGUUGAGGUAGGCGGAAUUCGUGGUGUAGCGGUGAAAUGCUUAGAUAUCACGAAGAACCCCGAUUGCGAAGGCAGCUUACUAAACUGUGACUGACAUUGAUGCUCGAAAGUGUGGGUAUCAAACAGGAUUAGAUACCCCUGUAGUC